rnacentral:rRNA from 1 species
GCAGCCGCCACGGGAAAACGAAGGGCGCAAGCGUUAAUCGGAAUUACUGGGCGUAAAGCGUGCGUAGGCGGUGAGUUAAGUCUGCUGUGAAAUCCCCGGGCUCAACCUGGGAAUGGCAGUGGAUACUGGCUCGCUAGAGUGUGUCAGAGGAUGGUGGAAUUCCCGGUGUAGCGGUGAAAUGCGUAGAGAUCGGGAGGAACAUCAGUGGCGAAGGCGGUCAUCUGGGACAACACUGACGCUGAGGCACGAAAGCGUGGGGAGCGAACAGGAUUAGAUACCCGUGUAGUCCCUGUCUCUUAUAC